CCUAGUAGCUAUAAAUCCCUAUGAACAGCUGCCUAUUUAUGGAGAAGAUAUUAUUAAUGCAUACAGUGGUCAGAACAUGGGUGAUAUGGAUCCACAUAUCUUUGCAGUAGCUGAAGAAGCUUACAAGCAAAUGGCCAGAGAUGAGCGAAAUCAGUCCAUCAUCGUAAGUGGAGAGUCUGGGGCAGGAAAAACAGUCUCAGCUAAGUAUGCCAUGCGAUACUUUGCAACUGUGAGUGGUUCUGCCAGUGAGGCCAAUGUGGAGGAAAAGGUCUUGGCCUCCAACCCCAUCAUGGAGGUAAGACAGCGAGUCUUCGGCUUUCUUCCUAUAUUCUCUUGAUAAGAAACAUGCUCAAAAAAUUGAUUGAUACAGCAUGUCUCAGAAAGCCUGGGGUCUCCUAGCCACUAAAAUUAAGAAAAUACUUUUCCACAUGUUUAU
rnacentral:sRNA from 1 species